rnacentral:rRNA from 1 species
UGUCCUACGGGGGGCAGCAGUGAGGAAUAUUGGUCAAUGGGCGGUAGCCUGAACCAGCCAAGUAGCGUGAAGGAUGAAGGUUCUAUGGAUUGUAAACUUCUUUUAUAAAGGAAUAAAGUGAGGCACGUGUGCCUUUUUGUAUGUACUUUAUGAAUAAGGAUCGGCUAACUCCGUGCCAGCAGCCGCGGUAACACGGAGGAUGCGAGCGUUAUCCGGAUUUAUUGGGUUUAAAGGGUGCGUAGGCGGACAGUCAAGUCAGCGGUAAAAAUGCGGUGCUCAACGCCGUACAGCCGUUGAAACUGGCA